GUGAAUCAUCAAAUUUUUGAACGCAAAUUGCACUCUCUUCGGAGAGUAUGCCUGUUUGAGGGUCAGCCUAAAAAAAAAAAUCGACAUAGUCGCUUCUUCGCGUUUACUUUCGUUUGAAUUUUUUUUAUCUUAAACUUUUUGUUUUUAAUUGGUUUAAAUUUUUCUUUACUAUUCCACGACAGUUUCUAAGAUUUAUUUCUUUUCCGUUU
rnacentral:misc_RNA from 1 species